rnacentral:rRNA from 1 species
AGAGUUUGAUCCUGGCUCAGGACGAACGCUGGCGGCGUGCUUAACACAUGCAAGUCGAACGGAAAGGCCCCCACCUUGGUGGGGGUGCUCGAGUGGCGAACGGGUGAGUAACACGUGGGUGAUCUGCCCUGUACUUCGGGAUAAGCUUGGGAAACUGGGUCUAAUACCGGAUAGGACCAUGGUUUAGUGUCUCAUGGUGGAAAGAUUAUUGUUUUGGUGCAGGAUGAGCUCGCGGCCUAUCAGCUUGUUGGUGGGGUAAUGGCCUACCAAGGCGUCGACGGGUAGCCGGCCUGAGAGGGUGGACGGCCACAUUGGGACUGAGAUACGGCCCAGACUCCUACGGGAGGCAGCAGUGGGGAAUAUUGCACAAUGGGCGCAAGCCUGAUGCAGCGACGCCGCGUGGGGGAUGACGGCCUUCGGGUUGUAAACUCCUUUCGUUAGGGACGAAGCCACACCUUUUUUUGGGUGUGGUGACGGUACCUUUGUUAAGAAGCACCGGCUAACUACGUGCCAGCAGCCGCGGUAAUACGUAGGGUGCGAGCGUUGUCCGGAAUUACUGGGCGUAAAGAGCUCGUAGGUGGUUUGUUGCGUCGUCUGUGAAAUUCCGGGGCUUAACUUCGGGGUGGCAGGCGAUACGGGCAUAACUAGAGUGCUGUAGGGGAGACUGGAAUUCCUGGUGUAGCGGUGGAAUGCGCAGAUAUCAGGAGGAACACCGAUGGCGAAGGCAGGUCUCUGGGCAGUAACUGACGCUGAGGAGCGAAAGCAUGGGGAGCGAACAGGAUUAGAUACCCUGGUAGUCCAUGCUGUAAACGGUGGGCGUUAGGUGUGGGGACCGGUUUUGGUUUCUGUGCCGUAGCUAACGCAUUAAGCGCCCCGCCUGGGGAGUACGGCCGCAAGGCUAAAACUCAAAGGAAUUGACGGGGGC